rnacentral:misc_RNA from 1 species
UGAAAUUAUGAACUACCACGAUCUUUAUAGAUAAGGCAGACAUUCCAAACAAAAAUCUUCCAAUUGCUCCAUAUUAAAUUUAGGAUUGCCAUUAUAAGGUACUUCUAAGUUUAAUAUCUGUAACCCCUAAAAUGAUACUGUUCCCUGUAAUGGUCAAAAGAAAAAACAGGGUUCAAGCCCAAAUGCAAUGCAAAUGCAUCAUCCAAAAAAUUUAACUGGCAGAAAAAUUGUCCUUCAAAUGCUCUGUUGGUAAUCAUAUCAUCAACAACAGAAAGAAGAUUAGAUUCUCGCAGACCCCUUGCCAUUUUGUUGAAGCAUGUAUUCUUUCUUCAUCUCUUCCAAGACAGCAUCAUUUGUGCUACAAUAAAUAAAUAAUAAAAAAAAACACUAGUAAUUUAGAUACACGAAGUUCAAAUAGUUCACAACUAUGUGAUGGACCAUUGUGUUCCCUAUGGUAACAUAUUUUGGCUUUGAUGGUACUUUAAUGAAACUUUAACAAAUUGGACUAAGUUAUAAAGUAGGAACCCAAAAAGUAGGUCACUUCAGAAUGCUAAUGAAAACAUACAGAUAUCCGAUGCAAUACAACCAUCUAUCCUAUUGUUCAUGAUAGACACAUGAAUGCAUCUCUUUCCAGAUUUAUGUGAAAGGGCAUUCACUUCUUUUCAGGCCUUUAUCAUUUACAAGGAUAUAUAUAGAAAAAGGGUGCCAUACCAGUUUUUUUUUAAUCAAAAUUUAGGUAGUUGACAUACAUUAACAAGACUAAAACACAUCAGCUGCUCUUUGUACUCUUAUAAUUCCCUUCCAGGUUUUCCUGGGGUUAAGAAAUUUUCUAUGCUCAUAAAAGAAAAGGCAACAAUUUUAUAUUGGCAAGUCAGCAACACAUUUAUGUCCUUGGACUUACCUGAAAGGGAAAAGAGCUAAAUUGGAGAAAAAUGAAGAGUCAUGUUUGCA